rnacentral:lncRNA from 1 species
GAGAUGUCAAAUGAUCAUGGCAGUUCUGCUUUCCCUGACCCUGACUUCGGCCCUAACAUUAGAAAGGGCCAUUCUCUGAAGCUGAGCAAAUUAAAAAUCAACCAAGGCUGAAAGGAGGCUUAUCUAGAACAUACAAAAACUGUGAAUUGUCAAGAAUGUUAAUGGGCUUUUGUCAGCAAGGAAUAAAAUGGACAUGAUACAAGUUUUUGCAAACAUCUCCUUCUCUUUACCGUACUAGCAGGACUUUUGAAGCCUGUGAAAGCAUUUAUUUCAAGGAAGAACCCACAUUCUUCUGCAAAUGGCCAAUCAUUAACUACAGGACCAUUUUUUUCCCUUUUUCCUAGUAUUUUUCUGUGAUUUUACAGGUAGCUUUGUUACUUCUGAGGGGCAUUGAAGAUUUUGGGAAAUGCAGUGAUCAAUGGCACAUUCUCUCAGACCGGGUUGUUAAUUCCAUGUCCAGAGCAGCAUAGCUGGCUGAACAGGAGGACAGAAAGGAGCACCUGCUGAGGUCUCACCUUUUGCCCAGCACUUCGACAAGACAGGAGAUCUGAGGCAGCUUUUGGAGCUGAGUUGUCCCCAGCCUCCUGUCCUUGGUUCUCCUCACUCAAAUCCAGGUUGAAUAUCUUCUCUAUUCAAGAUUGCUCAGUUCAAAGGCUACUCCACUAUCCCAGGAUAAAUAUUUUGAGAUGUCUUUAGGAUAUUUUGGCCCAAAGAUUUGGAAGAUUGCUCCCUGCACAGCCCCAAGGAGGGCCCAUGUGAGGCCUUGGCUGCACGAGAUGAGAAACUGACAGCUCGGUCACAGGAUGAAACCACCAAAGCUUCAAAGCUUCAAUCUGUGAUUACCUGCAAAUCAAACUUCCUUGGUUUUAUUGCUUUUCAUUCAAACUGUGAUGGAUGAGGUGAAGACCAGUUUCUGUGAACUGAGUGAUGAAAAGCAAUGGGCACCCAAGGGAGCCAGCUGGCCAAAAUUACUUUUCAUCAUAUUCUGGCAUGACUAGAUUAUUUUGUCAAUGACUGCAUUCAAGUGUUGCAGCUAAACCACACACUUAAGAUGUUUUUUUGCAUAUUUAUAAUAAAUAUUAUGUAUUUAUAAUAAAUAUAUAAUAA